GCAAGUCGAACGACCCUUCGGGGGAGUGGCAAACGGGCGAGUAACGCGUACCUAAUCUGCCCAGAAGUUGGGAAUAACUAUGGAGACAUAGCUAAUUCCCAAUAGUCCCUACAAAAUGAAAAUAUGUAGGGUAAAGAUUUAUCGCUUCUGGAGGGGGGUGCGUCCUAUCAGCUUGUUGGUGAGGUAAUGGCUCACCAAGGCUAUGACGGGUAGCCGGUCUGAGAUGAUGUCC
rnacentral:rRNA from 1 species